rnacentral:rRNA from 1 species
AGAGUUUGAUCCUGGCUCAGGACGAACGCUGGCGGCAUGCCUAAUACAUGCAAGUCGAACGCGACCAGCCGGUGCUUGCACUGGCGAAGUCGAGUGGCGAACGGGUGAGUAACACGUGAGAAACCUGCCCUGGAGUGGGGAAUAACUCGAAGAAAUUCGAGCUAAUACCGCAUACCUUCUUACCGUCGAAUGGUGGUUUGAAGAAAGAUUUAUCGCUCUGGGAGGGUCUCGCGGCCUAUCAGCUAGUUGGUGAGGUAACGGCUCACCAAGGCAUCGACGGGUAGCUGGUCUGAGAGGACGAUCAGCCACACUGGAACUGAGACACGGUCCAGACUCCUACGGGAGGCAGCAGUAGGGAAUCUUGCGCAAUGGGCGAAAGCCUGACGCAGCAAUGCCGCGUGCGGGACGAAGGCCCUAGGGUCGUAAACCGCUUUCAGUAGGGACGAAAAUGACGGUACCUGCAGAAGAAGCUCCGGCCAACUACGUGCCAGCAGCCGCGGUGAUACGUAGGGAGCAAGCGUUGUCCGGAAUUACUGGGCGUAAAGGGCUCGUAGGUGGUUGAGUAAGUCAGAUGUGAAAUCUCAGGGCCCAACCCUGAGCGUGCAUUUGAUACUGCUCUGACUAGAGUCCGGUAGGGGAGUGCGGAAUUCCUGGUGUAGCGGUGAAAUGCGCAGAUAUCAGGAGGAACACCGACAGCGAAAGCAGCACUCUGGGCCGGUACUGACACUGAGGAGCGAAAGCAUGGGUAGCAAACAGGAUUAGAUACCCUGGUAGUCUAUGCCGUAAACGUUGGGCACUAG